rnacentral:rRNA from 1 species
GAUGAACGCUGGCGGCGUGCCUAAUACAUGCAAGUCGAGCGCACAGACGAGGCGCUUGUUCCUCUGACGUUAGCGGCGGACGGGUGAGUAACGCGUGGAUAAUCUACCUAUAAGACUGGGAUAACUUCGGGAAACCGGAGCUAAUACCGCAUAAUAUCUUGAACCACAUGGUUCAAUAGUGAAAGACGGUUUUGCUGUCACUUAUAGUGGUCUCCGCGCCGCUUUAGUUGGUUGGUAAGGUAACGGCUUACCAAGGGAACCAUGCGUGGCCGACUGAAGAGGGGGAUCGGCCGCACGGGAACGGGAACAGGGACCAGACUCCUAAGGGAGGCACCAGUAGGGAACCUUCGGCAAUGGGGGAAAGCCUGACGGAGCAACGCGGCGUGAGCGAGGAAGGUGUUGGGAGCGUAAAACUCGUUUAUUGGGGAGAAACAAAUGUGGAAUGAACUAUGCACGGAGUGACGGUACCUAAUCAGAAAGCCACGGCUAACUACGUG